GGUUGUUCAGUUGUACCCUCCCCCUACUUCGUUGUUGUAUAAUAUCACUGCUAUGCUCGGGACUCAUUGGCCCCUGACCAAUUCAGCGAAAGCCUCUCCAGCAGCAACAGCUGACAAGUGUCGCCCGGCUCACAGUGGAUUCUAAAUAACAUAUACACCUGAUUGUGCUAUCAAAUGCAACAAGAUAUUUUGGUACCUGCUCUCCUCUGUGCAACCUACCUGCUUCUCUGGCUGCUGCCUUUGCCUUCUGCUUCAAACUGCCUUUGCCAACAAACCUCCCAUUGUUCUCCCUGGAAGACUGCAAAAUACAGAGUCACAGCCACAACUGACAAUGUAAAACAGAGAAAGCAGCUGGUGAGAUGGAGGAACACAUUGAUCUUCAGAACAAUCUACAGCCAUCUGACUGGGCUUGAAUGUUGGAGAAAUAACUCAUCAUGA
rnacentral:lncRNA from 1 species